rnacentral:tRNA from 1 species
UGGACUGUGGCUCAGUGGUAGAGCACCUGCUUGGCACCCGGAAAGUUCCUGGUUCAAUCCCCAGUAACUCCAGUUAAA